GCCACGAUCACAAUGAUAGAAGCAAUAUUUUAUCAGAUCAUGGUGAUGUUCUGACCUCAUUCUCAUCAACUGAAAUGCAGGUAACUCAGGCCCCACUUGCAAAAACACCUCACUCCAAGGGACAGUCAGGGGUGUGUAGUUGUCGUACUGCCCAGGCGGUGAUAGUCGUCGAGUCCUUCUCAGAGGACUUCGAGAUCGAUGACCUUGACUCCCAUUAUUUCACCUUUGAGGUGAGGAUCGGGAGCACAGGCGGCUUUUCUCUAUUCGCCUUGAAUGGCGCUCCUUGCUGGAUCCCGCCAUGACUAAAUCGAUAGGAGAAUCAUCGAUGAAGGCUUCUUUCAUGCGGGCAUAUUUUUCCAUACGGGCAAGCAUAUCCGGA
rnacentral:lncRNA from 1 species